rnacentral:rRNA from 1 species
AACGAACGCUGGCGGCAUGCCUAACACAUGCAAGUCGAACGAGACCUUCGGGUCUAGUGGCGCACGGGUGCGUAACGCGUGGGAACCUGCCCUUAGGUUCGGAAUAACUCCCCGAAAGGGGUGCUAAUACCGGAUAAUGUCUUCGGACCAAAGAUUUAUCGCCUUUGGAUGGGCCCGCGUUGGAUUAGCUAGUUGGUAGGGUAAAAGCCUACCAAGGCGACGAUCCAUAGCUGGUCUGAGAGGAUGAUCAGCCACACUGGGACUGAGACACGGCCCAGACUCCUACGGGAGGCAGCAGUGGGGAAUAUUGGACAAUGGGCGAAAGCCUUAUCCAGCAAUGCCGCGUGAGUGAUGUAGGCCUUAGGGUUGUAAAGCUCUUUUACCCGGGAUGAUAAUGACAGUACCGGGAGAAUAAGCUCCGGCUAACUCCGUG